UGUGUGUAAAGUUGCGGCGCUGCGGUCGACGUCCAGUGUCUUGUCAGUCACAGACACACCAUCAUUGUAAGUCUUCAUCACCAGAGUCAAAGAGCAUCAUGAGGUACAGGGUGGUCACUACUUACCUCAUGUACCUGCUGUUGGUGCCAAGCCUGGCUCAACAGUUCAGAGCUCGUGUGGUCGGUGGCACAGCGGAGGCGGGACGUCUGGAAAUCUUUUACGAUGGAGAAUGGAACACAGUGUGUGAUGACAGUUUUGGACAGGAAGAAGCUUUGGUAGCCUGCAGAAUGUUAGGAUUUAACAGCACAACAGCAGUAGCCGUGGGGUCAGCCAAGUACGGACCAGGCUCUGGUCCUAUUCUGUUCGAUGACCUGUGGUGUGUGGGGAACGAAACCAGCCUGACGCUGUGUAAACACUCGGGGCUCUACGCACACAACUGUCAACACUCGGAAAAUGUCGGCGUUGCGUGCAACAUUACUGAGGAGUUGAUAGCUCGUAUAGCUGACGAAGCAGUGGAGUCUGGACGCCUAGAGAUAUUUUAUCAUGGAGAAUGGAACACUGUGUGUGAUGAUGAAUUUGGAAGGGAAGAGGCCCAGGUGGCCUGCAGAAUGUUAGGCUUCAACAGUACUGAAGCAGAAGUAAUGAACUCAGACGACUAUGGCUUAGAUGAAGCAUCAGGUGAAGCAUCAGGUGAAGCUUCUGGUGAACCUUUAGGAGAGAUUAAACUGCACAACCUGCAGUGUAAUGGUACAGAAUCCAGUCUGGCACAUUGUCAACAUAGUGGGAUCUCAACGCACGACUGCUACUACUUGGAGCAAGUCAACAUUAUGUGCAACACGGAUCAGAUCCUAACUCGUGUAGCAGGCGGUACUUCGGCUGCUGGGCGACUAGAAAUAUUUUACAACAACGAAUGGUCCACAGUGUGUGACGAUGAAUUUGGAAAGGAAGAGGCGCAGGUUGCCUGCAGGAUGCUAGGAUUUAACAGCACUGGAGCAGCAGCUGUUAGUUCAGAGAAGUACGGACACGGUACAGGUCGGAUUCUGCUUCAAAAGAUGGAGUGCAACGGAAACGAAACCAGUCUAGCGAACUGCAAAAAUAAACUUGUUUACAGAAGGGACUGCGAUCACUCGCAUGACGUCGGUGUUGUCUGUAACAUCACAGCACGUCUGGUUAACGGGACAUCAGAAGCUGGCGGACUAGAGAUAUCUUUCAACGGCGAGUGGGGAGCAGUGAGUGACAAGGGAUUUGGAAAGAACGAGGCGGAGGUGGCCUGUAGAAUGUUAGGAUUCAACAGUGCUGGAGCAGUUGUCAGCUCAGACCGUUACGGUAAAGGUCCCGGACACGUUCUCCUCCAUGUCACAGAGUGUAAUGGAAUGGAAACCAGUCUGGCUCAGUGCAAAUUUGCACAAUUCUAUCCCAAUGCCACACUUCACUCCAAGGAUGCUGCUGUCGUUUGUAACAUAGCUGAACAGAUUGUUGCACGUUUGGUUAACGGGACGUCGGACGCCGGUCGCCUGGAGAUACUUUUUAAUCGAGAGUGGAGCACAGUCUGUAACGAGGGCUUCGGAAGAAAAGAAGCGCAGGUGGCCUGCAGAAUGCUUGGAUUUAACGGAACAGGGGCAGCAAUUGUGAGCUCUGACAGAUACGGUCAAGGUUCAGGUUACAUUCUGUUCCUCACGAUAAAGUGCAAUGGAACGGAAGUCAACCUGGCACAAUGCAGUCAUCCGCUCUUCUACACCAGCGGCUGCGAUCACUUGCAGGAUGUCAGCCUUGAGUGCAACAUCAGUCGUGUAAAACUGCGUUUAACUGGAAAGCGUCGCACCAGAUUUGACAUGGGUGGUGUGGAAAUAGAGAUUGGAGGAAAGCUGCAAACAAUAUGUAUCUCCGACGAUAAAGUCGCGGCAGUUAUCUGCAGACAGCUCGGCUUACCAUCACGUUCAGCAGCAUUCACCGAAAGAUGGUCAUUUGGAUCCAGACGUGGCAAUCAAUUGAUGACAAAUUUUACGUGCAAAGGCGACGAAAACAGCAUCUCGGACUGCGACCAGAGUUUAUUUAGUAACGGAAGUUCCUGUGACUUUGGCGUCGACUGCAGGGAAUCUCGUUCUCUGUUCAUUGUUCCGGACAGAGAUGAAUAUCCGUUGAUAGAGAAAAGUAGUAAAAUGCUAAUAUGUGGCAUUUCGUAUUUACAUGGACGUGCACCCGAAUACACAUGGGUAGAGACCGCCGGUGGUCGACCCUCUGGAUAUAUCCUAAGGUUUGACAGCCUGACAAGGAAGCACAAUGGAAGCAAAGUAAGGUGUACGGCAAGCUAUGACAAGGAUGGUGUCAAGCAUAGCCUGUCUAGUGACACCCUGGUAUUGCAGAUUUACUAUACGGAUAUCAAGGUAACACGAAAUGUGACUACUCUAGAGGCCAACCAGGAUCAGUUAGAAAUCAACCCUGGAGAGAAUGUUACAUUUUGGUGUAAAGCUGACAGCUACCCUCCUCCCGCGUCCAUCACGUGGUCUGGAAGUGUGAACAGCACGACUGGGGAGUUACGGAUCAUAGCGGCAGACCACGUGACACACAGCGGUGUGUACACCUGUACCGUCGUCACUGAAGCUGUUCAGGAUGACGACCGUCUUCCACUCAAGUCAUCGUACUUGCUAACCCUAACUGUUAAAGGUGGCUUUGUCUGCAUUUGUGUUGAAUAUUUACAAAAAUAUGUUUAUGUAAGUCAGUUUUCAAAGCACAUGCACAAAAUUGCAUAAUUCCCACUUUCAUGUUGUAAAUAACCGUCCGACAUACCGACUACGUUUACGCGAAAGCGGAUGUAAACCAGCCCUCGUCACACUGAAAAAACAAGUUCGGUUUAAGAAGUCGGAUUAAACAAAGGUGAGUCAGUCUCAUUCGCACUCAAAAACUGUGCAUGGGUGUUGAACAAAUCUGGAAUUAUAUAUUUAAAUGUAUUUUAUACACCAGUAAUAUAUAUCUUGUAAAUCUUAACGAGAACAUCUACAACACAGGUCUUUGGGGUAUUAUAGCAACAUUUUAUUGGAAUCGUGUUUGUGUUGACUUAGAUUUAGAGUUUGCUUGUACGAUAACAGUAUUUAUAUUUGUGCAGGUUGCUGUUGCUGGAGUUAUCUCCGGGUUUAGUGGUUCAGUUGAACAAGCGUCAUUUUAAAGAGCGUUGCCAAUUACUCAUUUCACGAGAUUUCUACUCACACAACCGAAAAUAAGAAGAAAAUAAUAUAUAGAUAUCAGUGGACAGCUGGUCCAGUGCUUCAACUAGCCUUUCCUUUGCUUUCACGGCGUCGACAACCUUUAAAGUACCAUUCAAAGACUGUUUUCAGCAAGGAGGUAUAUUGGACGACAUGGAUAAACCAAGAAAAUUCUGCCGCUUGACGUCACCGAGCAAAUGUUCCUGGUGAUCCUAACAAAAAUUCUGCCAUCAGUCUUGCUGCUGACGUGCUCAUCCGUUCUGGUGUUCGUUGAUGUCAAGAUAUUUUCUGUCCACUUCUUGAACUGUGAUCAUCACUCUGCAGAACGUUUUCGACGGGAAACUAAAACAGACUUUUAA
rnacentral:misc_RNA from 1 species